UGGGGAAUAUUGGACAAUGGGCGCAAGCCUGAUCCAGCAAUGCCGCGUGUGUGAAGAAGGCCUUCGGGUUGUAAAGCACUUUUAUCAGGAGCGAAACGCUGUCGGCUAAUACCCGGCGGAACUGACGGUACCUGAGGAAUAAGCACCGGCUAACUUCGUGCCAGCAGCCGCGGUAAUACGAAGGGUGCAAGCGUUAAUCGGAAUUACUGGGCGUAAAGCGUGCGUAGGCGGUUUCUUAAGUCUGCUGUGAAAUCCCCGGGCUCAACCUGGGAAUGGCAGUGGAUACUGGGAGGCUAGAGUGUGUCAGAGGGUGGUGGAAUUCCCGGUGUAGCGGUGAAAUGCGUAGAGAUCGGGAGGAACAUCAGUGGCGAAGGCGGCCACCUGGGACAACACUGACGCUGAGGCACGAAAGCGUGGGGAGCAAACAGGAUUAGAUACCCUGGUAGUCCACGCCCUAAAGCGAUGCGAACUGGAUGUUGGUCUCAACUCGGAGAUCAGUGUCGAAGCUAACGCGUUAAGUUCGCCGCCUGGGGGAGUACGGUCGCAAGACUGAAACUUAAAUGAAUUGACGGGGUCAUAGCUGUUUCC
rnacentral:rRNA from 1 species